rnacentral:rRNA from 1 species
UACGUAGGGGGCGAGCGUUGUCCGGAUUUACUGGGCGUAAAGCGCGUGUAGGCGGCUGCUUAAGUCGGGUGUGAAAGCCCGGGGCUCAACCCCGGGAGGCGGGUGGAUACUGUCAAGCUCGAGUCCGGAAGAGGCGAGUGGAAUUCCUGGUGUAGCGGUGAAAUGCGCAGAUAUCAGGAGGAACACCAAUGGCGAAGGCAGCUCGCUGGGACGUGACUGACGCUGAGACGCGAAAGCGUGGGGAGCAAACAGG